rnacentral:rRNA from 1 species
AUGCACAAGGCCUGUGAUAGGGUUGAAUGGAACUUUUUGAGCAGAAUGAUGACACGCUUGGGCUUUCAUGUAGAGUUUGUAAAUCUGUUGAUGGCAUGUGUCCAGUCAGUUAAAUAUAAGGUCAGAUUCAAUAAUCAAGAAAAAAUAUAUUUUAUUCUUGGAAGGGGACUCCGACAGGGAGGCCCCCUAUGUCCAUAUUUGUUUUUGAUUUGUGAAGAAGGGCUUUAUAGUCUUCUGGCUCAUAGAGAGGAGGUUUGUGGCAUUGAAGGUGUCAGGGUUUGCAGAAAUGGACCAUCAAUUUCACAUUUACUUUUUGCUGAUGACUCCCUUAUCCUUAUGAAAGCUGAUAUGAAUAAUGCAACCUCAUUGAAACAGGUUCUAGAUCAAUAUUGUGCAAGUUCUGGCCAAGUGGUUAGUGAAGCAAAAUGCGGCACUUACUUUAGUCCUAAUAUAAAUAUUUAG